rnacentral:sRNA from 1 species
UCAUCACCAUCAUCACCCUAAAUAAUCUUUCGGGGAGGUGUACGCAUACCCGGGAGGCAGGAAACUCUCGGUGGUUAAGUCAAAGCAUUUAGAUUAAAACCCUCGGGAGACCACAAAUCUCCCGAGGGUUUUUUCAU